rnacentral:tRNA from 1 species
CGGGGCGUGGCGCAGCUCGGUAGCGCGCUUAUCUGGGGGGUAAGAGGUCAUGGGUUCAAAUCCCGUCGCCCCGACCA